UAUAAGUUGAAGAUAUUAAGUAGAAAUUCAAUUUUUUUGAUUCUGUGAAACAUUUGAUUAUUGAUUUAUCAAGUGAAUAAAAAAUACAUGAGAAAUAGUUGCUGUCAACACUUACAUGGCUUGUCAAAAAAUUCAAUAAAAGCAACGGACACAACCUGCCUACCUCAAGAAGCACCUAAUCUAACAUAGGAAAGAAACUCCUGAGUCGCUUGUAGCAGAAUGACUAGCCAUGGCAAGCUCCUUAUAUAGAUAUAAAAUUACCUAUGCAAGUAAAGUAAUGUUUAAAUCAAAACACUAAAUAAUCCCUUCAACAGAUGUUCUGUCAUAACUGUAGCUUAUCAUAUAAAACAAACACAUGAGAAAUAAAAUAAAUAGGUACACAACCUUUUAACAUUGUC